CUCGCUGUGAAGAUGCAGUGUACCCGCGGCAAGACGGAAAGACCCCGUGAACCUUUACUAUAGCUUGACACUGAACAUUGAGCCUUGAUGUGUAGGAUAGGUGGGAGGCUUUGAAGUGUGGACGCCAGUCUGCAUGGAGCCGACCUUGAAAUACCACCCUUUAAUGUUUGAUGUUCUAACGUGGACCCGUUACCCGGGUUGCGGACAGUGUCUGGUGGGUAGUUUGACUGGGGCGGUCUCCUCCUAAAGAGUAACGGAGGAGCACGAAGGUUGGCUAAUCCUGGUCGGACAUCAGGAGGUUAGUGCAAUGGCAUAAGCCAGCUUGACUGCGAGCGUGACGGCGCGAGCAGGUGCGAAAGCAGGUCAUAGUGAUCCGGUGGUUCUGAAUGGAAGGGCCAUCGCUCAACGGAUAAAAGGUACUCCGGGGAUAACAGGCUGAUACCGCCCAAGAGUUCAUAUCGACGGCGGUGUUUGGCACCUCGAUGUCGGCUCAUCACAUCCUGGGGCUGAAGUAGGUCCCAAGGGUAUGGCUGUUCGCCAUUUAAAGUGGUACGCGAGCUGGGUUUAGAACGUCGUGAGACAGUUCGGUCCCUAUCUGCCGUGGGCGCUGGAGAACUGAGGGGGGCUGCUCCUAGUACGAGAGGACCGGAGUGGACGCAUCACUGGUGUUCGGGUUGUCAUGCCAAUGGCACUGCCCGGUAGCUAAAUGCGGAAGAGAUAAGUGCUGAAAGCAUCUAAGCACGAAACUUGCCCCGA
rnacentral:rRNA from 2 species